GAGAGGGGCAUGGAUGCUGGCAGCGGGGGAGCGAGCAAACGGUACCCCCGGAGAGACAGACAGACAGACACACGGAUGGACGGACACGGCUGCCGGUGAGAGAGGCUGCGGAUCUGCCAACUGCAGUCUGCAGGGAGAAUUUACAUCUGUUCAUCCCCGCUGAAAAGCCACCUCCGUAUGCCCAGACACACACCAGCUGUGUCUGAAAAUAGCAGUGUGUUACCCAAGGGCCAAAGUUUCUAAUUACUGAAUUUCUUUUUAUAAAGUGUGAUGAAAAACAGAAACAUCAUGAGCAUCCAUUGAUAUUCAUUCUUAAGCAUCCCAAAUCCAAGAAUUGUCAAUAGUGCUCCCAGUGAUGUAGGAAGCAGCAUCAAGCAGCCCAGUGCAAACCGCUGCAGGGAAACUGGUCCAUUGGGCAAGUGAAUGGAAGAGCUCCAAACAUCAUGGCCAGAGAUGGGGUUCUCCAUACAAUGAAGGAGAGCAUAGUAGGCCUGGAAGAGUGGAGAGAGAAGGCCAGGCAGCAGCAAGUUGGGCAGAAGAGCCAUAGAAGAGUCAUAGAAGUCCAAGAGGAACAGUGAUGCUGGCAAGAGACCAGGGCUGUUGAGAAAUUUAGCCAGCACAGAUGAGGGAGAACCAGCCUUGGAGGUCUGACACCAGGGAAAGAGGCCCUCUGCUGGUGUCUUGUACAGGAGAAGAGCGUUCUCGGAAACAGAGAGAACUGCUCCUGAGGCAAAGAGUUUCUUCACUGGCCCUGCCCAACAUUUGGUUCGCAAAGGCAGCAUCUUGACAUUGCACCUUUCCCGAGGAUCUGAAGGAGAAGCUGCAAGUCAUUCUCCGCCAUCCAUAAGGAUUUGCAAAAAGAAGCAAUUGCACUAAGGAUUAAGCUGGAGCAUUUGAGAAGCGACCGAAAGAACAAAAGAACACAAGUACUGCAGAGGGACUGCAGAAGCUGGGUGGCAAUGAUGGUCAACCAGCUUUCCUCCAGGAACCCAACUGUACCCCAAGUCAGAGGGGUGGAUAAUAUCCUGGACUGGGGGCUCACUUACAGGUACUUAUCAAGCCCCAGCCAUUUUUUCUCCAGAAAUGUGGCAUGCAACUCCUGAACAUUCUCCUUUAAUAUCAUUAAAAUAGUUAGUUUUGUAAAACCCAUGCAUGUCUAUCAAAUAUUUCCAAACACCAUGCGGAAUGACGGGAUCUUUCUUGCAAAUACCUUGUAGCACCUGGAGGAAGAAUUGAUUUAGGGUAAAUUCCUUGGCAAAAGUUUGUAUAGUCAAAGUUAUAGUUUUGCCAGUUGUAAUGUAUGGCUGUGAGAGUUGGACCGUAAAGAAAAUUGAGUGCCCAAGAACUGAUGCCUUUGAAUUGUGAUGUUGGAGAAGACUCCUGAGAGUCCCUCGGACUGCAAAGAGAUCAGAUCAGUCAAUCUUAAAUGAAAUCAACCCUGACUGCUCUUUAGAAGGCCAGGUACUGAAGAUGAAGCUCAAAUACUUUGGCCACCUAAUGAGAAGGAAGGACUCACUGGAGAAGACCCUGAAGCUGGGAAUGAUUGGAGGCAAAAGGAGAAGGGGACAGCAGAGGUUGCUGCUUUAGUGGUAAUAAACAUUGUUAUUUUCCCAAUCAUCUGAAAGCAGAAUAAAACAGAAGAUCCACAUAGUGUUUAA